rnacentral:rRNA from 1 species
UAAGACGUAGGGAGCAAGCGUUGUCCGGAAUUACUGGGCGUAAAGAGCUCGUAGGCGGGAGCGUGCGUCUGAAAGGAAAUCUCAGGGCUCAACUCUGGGGCUUUUUCAGAUACGGCGCUUCUUGAGUGUAACAGAGGAAAGCAGAAUUCCCGGUGUAGCGGUGAAAUGCGUAGAUAUCGGGAGGAAUACCAGUGGCGAAGGCGGCUUUCUGGGUUACCACUGACGCUGAGGAGCGAAAGCGUGGGGAGCGAACGGGAUUAGAUACCCCGGUAGUCCACGCCGUAAACGAUGGAUACUAGGUGUAGGAGGUAUCGACCCCUUCUGUGCCGCAGUUAACACAUUAAGUAUCCCGCCUGGGGAGUACGGUCGCAAGGCUG